GCCCCCCUAGCUCAAUUGGCAGAGCAUCUGACUCUUAAUCAGAGGGUUAUUGGUUCAAGUCCAAUGGGGGGCA
rnacentral:tRNA from 1 species